rnacentral:rRNA from 1 species
CGGAUGAACGCUGGCGGCGUGCCUAACACAUGCAAGUCGAACGGAGUAUUUCGGAUGAAGUUUUCGGAUGGAUUUUGAGAUACUUAGUGGCGGACGGGUGAGUAACGCGUGGGCAACCUGCCCCAUACCGGGGGAUAACAGCCGGAAACGGCUGCUAAAACCGCAUACGAUGCAGAAGUCGCAUGACUUUUGCAUGAAAUAUUCAUAGGUAUGGGAUGGGCCCGCGUCUGAUUAGCUAGUUGGUGAGGUAACGGCUCACCAAGGCGACGAUCAGUAGCCGGCUUGAGAGAGUGACCGGCCACAUUGGGACUGAGACACGGCCCAAACUCCUACGGGAGGCAGCAGUGGGGAAUAUUGCACAAUGGGGGAAACCCUGAUGCAGCGACGCCGCGUGAGUGAAGAAGUAUUUCGGUAUGUAAAGCUCUAUCAGCAGGGAAGAAGAAAGACGGUACCUGACUAAGAAGCCCCGGCUAACUACGUG